UACGGAGGGUGCAAACGUUGCUCGGAAUCAUUGGGCGUAAAGCGCACGUAGGCGGCUCGUUAAGUCGGGUGUGAAAUCCCUCGGCUCAACCGAGGAAGUGCAUUCGAAACUGGCGAGCUUGAAUAUGGAAGAGGGUCUCGGAAUUCCCGGUGUAGAGGUGAAAUUCGUAGAUAUCGGGAGGAACACCAGUGGCGAAGGCGGAGACCUGGGCCAAUAUUGACGCUGAGGUGCGAAAGCGUGGGGAGCAAACAGG
rnacentral:rRNA from 1 species